GCACGAAACAGAAGGAGAGACAAAGAAGAGUGUCACGCGAGAAGGGAGAAGAAGUUCUUGGUCGCCGUCGGAGAAGUUGCUUCCAGUCGCCGUCGCUGCUGUCGUUGGAGCUGCUUGCCAAAGAAGCCCGAUGAGAGAGAGACAAUGCGUGAGAGGGAGCUCGUCACCGCCAGCUUUGUCAGAGCUCUGGCACCGAACUUGUCUCUGCCGUCAUUCUACCUCACCACUGAUGGGAGAGUCUGCCACUGGAAACUGGACGCCGGGAAGAGAAAAAGUGACGGUUAGAGGUUGCUGCUGAGUUGCAUGCGGCUAUUGGAGCUGCUUCGGGCUGUUCUGGUCACUGGGUAUAGCGCGGAUACCGCUGGAAUCAACUGAUGGAGCUGCCGCUGCGCAGUUAUUGGUUGUUGCUCGGGUCAAGUUACUAUGACUGCAUGUGGUGUUUAACAGCUGCUGUUGCCAUGGGAGCGGUUGAAAGUGCUGUCGCUACUGUGAAUUGAAAGAAAAAGGUUUUCUUUAAUGCGUUGGUUUAUAGGUUCGACUUUUCGAAGUAGGGGUAUUUUUCUAAAAAGCUUAUUUAUAUUUUGGAAUUGUUAUAAAUGAAUAUGGAAGUGAUAAAUACAAUUUCUGGUGAUUGUGUAA